GAUCAUGGCUCAGAUUGAACGCUGGCGGUAUGCUUAACACAUGCAAGUCGAACGGUAGCAGGCCUUCGGGCGCUGACGAGUGGCGGACGGGUGAGUAACGCGUAGGAAUCUGCCUCAUAGUGGGGACAACGUGGGGAAACUCACGCUAAUACCGCAUACGCCCUACGGGGGAAAGCGGGGGAUCUUCGGACCUCGCGCUAUGAGAUGAGCCUGCGUUAGAUUAGCUAGUUGGUAGGGUAAAGGCCUACCAAGGCGACGAUCUAUAGCUGGUCUGAGAGGACGAUCAGCCACACUGGGACUGAGACACGGCCCAGACUCCUACGGGAGGCAGCAGUGGGGAAUAUUGGACAAUGGGCGCAAGCCUGAUCCAGCAAUACCGCGUGUGUAAAGAAGGCCUUAGGGUUGUAAAGCACUUUCAAUUGGG
rnacentral:rRNA from 1 species